GCCCUAGUGGCGCAAUGGUAGCGCGGUAUGUUUAUGUGUAAGCGACUGUAACCAAAAAAUCAACUAAUAUUUUCUUAGCCAGACUUCUAAUCUGGAGGCUGUGGGUUCGAGCCCCACCUGGGGUG